rnacentral:misc_RNA from 1 species
ACGCUCUUCUGCUUGGCUUUCUGCUUCCUUCCUUCCCUCACGCAACCUGACCAUACACCCUUCCCCUCUCUGCACCCCACCGCUGCUGCUGCUGCCGCUCACUACGCCGCAAACACGCCCAGGCACGCAGGCAGACGCUUUUCUUUAGCUCUCGUUCUCUCUUGUUUCGCCAAGGCUGUCCAGCGUAUUCCUUCCUCGCUGUCUUCCUCUCCUCCUUUUUGUUCUUCUUCUGCUCUCGCUGCAACUGCUUCGCGUUAUUAUUUUGCUAAGAACAGAAUCGUGUUCGCUUCGCUCUCUGUCUCCGCUUCACUUCUUACCUUUUUAUUCCCAACCAUUUUGUACCUCCGUCGUCGACUGCUUUCACGCCUUGUACCUCGCUCCCUCAGAUAUACGUAUAUACAUCUUUACAUAUCUAUCUAUAUAUAUAUAACGAAAAAAGGCAGGCACGCCUCCACCACCUCACCAUCCUCUGCACACUCAAAAGACAGAACAGACAGAUGAAUCCCGCUAUGUCGCGUGCGUCGGGUGAUAAUUCCACCGCUACUGCGCCGUCGCCGAACCGUGGUCUCGAUACGGCUACACCAGCCGCGCCAGCGCUGCAAGGCGCCUCUCGUCGUUCGUCGCUGGCUAAUCACCGACCACGCCGCAGGUACCGCACUUGCUUUGUGGCAAUGCCACCACCCACUCGCGUGGCCUUCAUUGCGCUUCUUUUGGCGCUGGUAUACUCCAGCCAGGGGCUCUGUGCGGGACCUGCCGUUGGUGGCCUGACUGAUGGGAUGGGCGGCACCGCCGCGGCAACGGCCUACGUGCGCUCCUGCGACGGAGCCUCGCUACCCACGCCGCCUGGUUGCGGGCUCAAGCUGGUGGUGGAUCUCACCCUCGACGACAGCAUUCUCACCGGCUCCGUCUUGGAGACAGAGGUGACGGUGACGCACGCGUUGCAUCAGUCACUCUUUCCCCGUGACGCGGGGUCCAAUGCUGCUGGCACAGCUGCCACCUCUUUGCAGGUGUCUCUGCCUCCCAUCACGGUGGCAAUACAGCGUGGCGCCGUGCAGAUGCGCUACGGCCUCACCUACCUACGCACGUUUCCGGCGGCGUUGCGAGACUCUGUGCGGGUGCUGAGGACGGCCAUGUCUUGCGACGACGGCGUCACGCGCUGCCCCUCCUACAUGAGCAUGACAGGGACGCUUGUGUCGGCGCCGCUCGGACUGUGCUGCCUCUGCACCAGCGUGGAGUGCGCCCUCACAAGCGACCUGUGCAACGCUUCAAUGCGCGCGCACUUUUGCUUCCGCACCGGCGCAGCCGGAAUUACGUGCGUACAGGGCGAGGGCAUCACCUACCACGGAUGGUCCGUGGGAUCGUCGUCGCCCUACUACACGAUGCACCUAUCCGCGAGCGGGCGAGGGAUCGCGCCGACGACACUGCAGCUCACAACGGAUGCCCCUGAGGCGCAGAACGGUGCGUCUGCUCUGCAGCUUCUUCGGGCCUCUGAUGUUUUGCCCGAAGAGUCAAACCCCAAGGUUGAUAUUUCCGGGCGCGUUCUCUUUGUCCCCUCUGCAGAACACAGCAGGGCCAGCCGCGGCACCACCAGCACUGGGCCUGUGCGCGACGACGAUCCGGCAGAGUGGCUUUUGCUCCCGGCGCCGCUUGUCAGCGUCUCAGGCAAUGAUUGCGACAAGGUCGGCAUCUCACCAGACUAUUUCUACUCGCUCUCCAGCACUACGCAGUGCAACGCGCAGAAGGGGACGUGCGUGCGACACCAGCUGGCGGACUACCGCGCGGCGGACCUGGAACAGAUCGCCCAGGGCGUAGGCGGACGCUAUAUCGGCGCCUCUCUGGGCACCUUCACGCGGCAGAAAAUGGGGGAACAGGAGUUCCUGUUCGAUACGGUGGAGCGCACGGGCGGGGCGAUGCUGCGGUGGACGGUGAAUGCGGACGGCCUCGCGUUCCAGCCGCUUCCGGUGCACGGCGUACUGGAUGCUAUCAAGUUUGACAGCAGCACAGGCAUCCUCUACGUCACGGUUCGCAACAACAACACAUAUGGUGGCCUCUACUACGUUGCCGUUGGCCAGUGCCAGGGAGCACGCGCAUCGCACUGCGACAGCGACGGCGUGACACACGAGUGUGGCCGCACGGCUUUGGUGGCCGGCGCUAACACCUCCUCGCUGUUGCAGUUCAGCAUGGUGAGCGACCCGCCCGAGGAGGUGGGACGCACCGCUUCAUGCACCGUCGUCUUUCGCGACGCGGCCGCUGCGCUGCUGGCCUCUAAAAACGUUUCGUGGACGGUCGAGCACACGACCACUACGCCGGCGCCGAAUGCCCCCAAAGCGGAGCAGUGCAGACGCUGCGCCUUCCGCGACCUGCGGUGUCUUUUCAGCACCGUCUGCGAGUGGCAGAUGCUCCUGUGGACAGCGGUGGCCGUGGCGGUGGCGUGGGCGCCGUAUGCCAUCUUGGCCUACUGGCGCAUGGCGUGGCACGUUGGCGCCAAGUUCUUGGCGGGUCUGAACUGACUUCCUGAUACGUCGUUUUCUCUCUACCCUCUCUCACCCACUUUCACCACCCAG